AUUGAACGCUGGCGGCAGGCCUAACACAUGCAAGUCGAACGAGUGGCGGACGGGUGAGUAGUGUCUGGGAAACUGCCUGAUGGAGGGGUAUAACUACUGGAAACGGUGGCUAAUACCGCAUACCAUCAGAUGUGCCCAGAUUGGAUUAGCUUGUUGGGGGGGUAACGGCUCACCAAGGCGACGAUCCCUAGCUGGUCUGAGAGGAUGACCAGCCACACUGGAACUGAGACACGGUCCAGACUCCUACGGGAGGCAGCAGUGGGGAAUAUUGCACAAUGGACGAAAGCCUGAUGGAGCAAUGCCGCGUGUAUGAAGAAGGUCUUCGGGUUGUAAAGUACUGUCAGUGGGGAGGCGGUAUCCGAAGAAGAAGCACCGGCUAACUACGUGCCAGCAGCCGCGGUAAUAC
rnacentral:rRNA from 1 species